rnacentral:piRNA from 1 species
UAGCAGGGCCUAACACUACGGUGCAUU